GAAGAGCCCUCCGUGCGCGCGCGCGCGCGCCUAGCUAUUCCUCACCUCUUCCCCCCCUCAGCCCCCUCCCCCCCGACUUUAAAAGGGGGUGAAACAGACUCUUGGGGGGGGGGGGGAAGGUUAGCAGCAUAUGUACAGUUCUCGCCCUGGUGUGGUUUUUUUUCCCCUGAUCCCAAAUUUCCACAACUGGUAGUCGUUUCUAGCUGACCAGAAAUGCUGACCCUUUUUGGAAGAAUGGUUUUAAAAAAAAGGAGUGAGGCAUCCGCUUUUUUUAAAUGCUUUUUCCAGGGUUCGGUGCCAUACAGCUAUAGUCCUUGGCUUAGGACUGAGCCCCACCCUUUGGAGAGUUUUGCCUCCUUUUACGACCUUUCUGGACACCGUUGUUAAGGGAACCGCUGCAGGGGUUAAGUCAGCAACGCAGUUCUUUGAAAUGAAUCCUCGUCGACUUUGCUUGUCAGAAGGUCACAAAAGGGGGGAAUCGCGUGGCGCUGAGACACUCCGACCGUCGGAAAAAGUUUUGCUCUUGUGGGUGUCAACAAAACUCUCCGGAUCUUUCUGGGCUCCUCUUCAAGCAGGGGGCCCCAACGUGGUUUGCACAAGAGGCUCAGCUACCAACAUGGAAAAGGAGUGAAACUCCAAAGGGGAGGAUGAAAAUGAAGCAUAAUGAAGAGAAAAAAACUGGGCUGGUUGCCCUUUACUCACAUCUUCCCUCGGCGUGGCAGGCUCAGCUCCUUCUGGAUGAAGAAAACAGAAAAUAAAAGAGUGUCUACAUGGCUUCUGUAUCA